AUACAUAAAUAGCAUGGUCAUCCAUAUUAAAGUGUAUCGCUAACAUGGACUUGUCAUUUAGAUAUCAUGAAAUCAUAUAAAUAUGAACUUCUAACAUCCUAGGCAUUUUAUCAAACACCUUACAUGCAUUCUUUAAGGCAUAGGUGGAUUUCAUACUUGCAUUAGUUCAACCCACCCAAAGUUCAUGAUUUUCAACCAACAAUCACAUAUAUUCCAUGAAAAACAUCCUUAGAUAUCAUCUUGAAACUUGAACAACAAUCAUCAACGUGUACAUGUUUAUAUCACCACAAAAGUUUACAAAAUAACAUUUAAAAGCAUGGUUCUUGAACUCUAUGAACGAAUUA
rnacentral:lncRNA from 1 species